rnacentral:tRNA from 1 species
GGGUUCUUAGCUCAGCUGGUUCAGAGCACCUGCCUUACAAGCAGGGGGUCACUGGUUCGAAUCCAGUAGGACCCAC